rnacentral:rRNA from 1 species
UACGGAGGGCGCAAGCGUUGUUCGGAAUUACUGGGCGUAAAGCGCGUGUAGGCGGCCAGGUAAGUCGGAUGUGAAAUCCCGGGGCCCAACCCCGGAACUGCACUCGAUACUGCCUGGCUGGAGUCCCGGAGAGGAUGGCGGAAUUUCCGGUGUAGAGGUGAAAUUCGUAGAUAUCGGAAGGAACACCAGUGGUGAAGGCGGCCAUCUGGACGGUGACUGACGAUGAGACGCGAAAGCGUGGGGAGCAAACAGG